UGGGGGAUAUUGCACAAUGGGGGGAAACCCUGAUGCAGCAACGCCGCGUGAGUGAAGAAGUAUUUCGGUAUGUAAAGCUCUAUCAGCAGGGAAGAAAAUGACAGUACCUGACUAAGAAGCCCCGGCUAACUACGUGCC
rnacentral:rRNA from 1 species